UCGAGGUGAUUUGGAUGAGUUGUUGGUGUGAGUGUUAGUUCGAUUCUGUAUAGAAGACGCAACAGGAUUCUGAGGGAGGUCUGAUGAUCGGAGGUCACGAGGUGACAUUUCCUUUUGAGAGUCGAGCAACUUUGGUCUUGAGUGACUGCUUUGAAAUAUUUUGAUAUGACGACCAGGGAGGUUUGAGGAUUCAGGGUUGCUGGGAGUGACCUCAGGCAUAUAUAUCGGGACUUCACGCCUUUGGCCGGGGGUUAAUCCUACAGGUCAGGGUAAUCGUGGCUAAAGUUGAAGUCGCGUGCUUACAGCUAUAAGGUAGGAAGCCAAUUUUUGUGACUUUACCGUUGAAAAAACUUUCGUUGUAGUAGCUCUUAUGACCAUUUACUUAUUAUUUUGUUGGGCAAUUUAAUUCGUAUGCUUGUGUAAUAUUUGACUGUGCAGAGCGAGUCUGUAUUGACAUAGUGGAUUCAGGGCAUCAGUAUGUACUUGGUUUAAAAGGAAAAAGUUUUCCAGGUAUUUUGUAUUGAUGGCUGAACCAUCACGCAUGUAUAAUUAUGGGAUUAAAUAUCAAUUUUUGUUUGUGUUUAAAAAUUGGGGCGUGACAUCGCUAGUUUCUUCAUCUUCAGAAGAAGAAAAAUCUUCGAUAAGCAAUUCCUUUUGUUGCUUAAUUUGAAACACAUGUUCAAAUCUGGGCUUGUAGUGCUUAUGAUCACCACUAUUUCGUUGCGAUCUCUAAUAUUGAGUAGUGAAGUUUAGACCAACUACACUUUUUGCUUGGGUCAAUCUAUCGGCCCAAAACAUUCUGUCUCCUUUUUUGAAGCCCAUAGCUUCUUCAUCUUGAGCAGUUAGAGAAGGAAAUCAUUUCCCAACAAGAAAUCUGAUCCUUGGCCUUCUGAUUACCAAAGAGUGUUGAUGAUAAAUGUUCCUCCACCAAUG